GGAGACCAUAGAGCAGCAGAUGAAUGGGACAGGACAGCAGGCACCUCAGCUAUGAGCGGAUCCUUAUUCGGCCACAUCUCCUGGGUAUGACACAGGCCUCGGAGGAACUGGAUCAAGUAGCCAGCAGGAGAUGGAGCAGAGAUCCUGUGACCAGCUGAGCUGUGGCUGGGGCUAGAAAUGAGAGAGCAGGACCUGGCUUGUGGAUGACUGUCUGUCAGGCUUCAUAAGGAACUGUAGCUACACAGACAACUGGAUAGUCACUUCAUUGUCCACUAGGGAGUUUACCCACUAAUGAGCAGCGACCUAACCAGGUGUAUUGGUGAGAGAUCCGAUUCCCAAACCUGGUCUUCUUCAGCAUAAUGAGGAGGUGGUCCGAGGCCGACAGACCCCAGGCAUCCAGAUGGCAGUGUCCCGCAGCCUCAUACCAACAAAGACACGAAGCUCCUCGAUAUACUGAGGAAUUCCAACCAUCUUUUAUG